GGGGGCGACCGGUUUCGACGUGGGUUGCGAACCGUGAAUGGCGUACCGAGGCGCAUGGCCCUCGUUAAUCACUGUGCAAUUUAUAGUUGCAAACGACGACAACUACGCACUAGCUGCUUAAUUAGCAGUUGCCCCCAGACCAGCGCCUGCCUAUGGGACUGAAUCUGGGGACGCGUUCAUAGGAUCGCGGCACCGUGUGCUACGGGCGGUGCCGUUAAGAGUCACUGUAGCUGGCUCGGCGUUUUCCCUGCCCCUUGGGUAGCGCAGAGUAAGAACCAAUAAGAGGGCUAUGUACGUAGAUAUUCACGUCUAGGGCUUGCGGACGCGGGUUCAAUUCCCGCCGCCUCCACCA
rnacentral:tmRNA from 1 species